CUUUGAAAAUGUGAAUGACGCCGUCUCAGAGCUGAAAAACCAACUGGUCAAACUCUGCGAUGAACACGUGGACAGAAUAUCAGUAAAAGUUGCUGAUGUCCAAAUUUCCAAAAUUGCUUCAUGCGAAGACAUGGUUUCUUUAGUUACAGCUUCUCCUCAUCAGACAGUGAAUGUGAGUAAGACAUAUAUAUAUAUAGACAUAUAUAUAUAUAUAUAUAUUUCAUUUCGGGAAGAACAUUUUAAAUAACCGAUAAAUUUAAAAGCAAGUCCUGCAGUACAGUUAAACCUUGUUUAACAAAAAAAAAAACAAAACUUAAUAUUGAACAAGGAACUCAAUAAUUUAAUAUUAAUAUAAUAUAUACUUUUGUUAUAUAGGUAACUCAUUAACCUCAUUAAGUUUCACUUCCGAAUGAAGCCUGCCGGGGGGGAGAGUGGCCUGGGAGUAAUAAAAUAAAAAUCUGACCUGCAUCAAAUACAGAAGUCCGUAAUGUAAUGUAUAUUUUGAUGAUUCAUAUUAAUGUCUAGGUGGGUCUAAAACAAAAAUAUUGUCAUGACUGCAAACAUUUGAUGAAGUUGAAAGCUUGCUGUUUGCCAAUUACAAAACAUUUGUAAAUAUGUUAUUUCUUAAUAAUAAAGAAAUCUUAAAUCGUGAAAAAGUGAUUUGCUCAUGUUCGUAAGUGUCUGCAGAGUCUUGGUUACUACAAAACAUAGAUGAAAAGAAAUGUGUGGCGCAUUAAGAGAAAUGAUCGGUUAUUUCGGUAUGUUUCUACAUGGUGAGUGAAAAAGCUAUUAAAAUAGCAACAAAACUGUGAUUUGUGUUUUGUUGUAAUCAAAAUCUUGUUGAUUUAUUAGCUUAGGUGGAGC